rnacentral:rRNA from 1 species
AAUGAACGUUGGCGGCGUGGAUUAGGCAUGCAAGUCGUACGCACAGCUUCGGCUGUGAGUGGCGCAAGGGUGAGUAAUGCGAAGGUAACCAACCCUGGAGUUGGGCAUAACCGCGGGAAACUGCGGGUAAUUCCCAGCGAUGUCGCGAGAUGGCAUCAUCUUGCGACCAAAGGUGUGAUUCCGCUCUAGGACGGGCCUUCGUGGUAUUAGGUAGUUGGUGAGGUAACGGCUCACCAAGCCGACGAUGCCUACCGGGUGUGAGAGCAUGACCCGGCACACUGGAACUGAGACACUGUCCAGACACCUACGGGUGGCUGCAGUCGAGAAUCUUCGGCAAUGGGCGAAAGCCUGACCGAGCGACGCCGCGUGAGGGAAGAAGGGCCUUCGGGUUGUAAACCGUCUUUCGUAGUAGGAGGAAGGGCCGUGCAGAGCGGUCUUGACCUAUCUUAGGAAGAAGCUUGGGCGUAAGUUUACGUGCCGAGCAGCCGCGGUAAU